UCCACCUUAUCCACCCAUUGCUGGAAGGUGGGGACUGUGCUACUUUUCCAGUGAAUUGGGAUUAGGAUUUUCGCUGACUUUAGCAGGUGUACGGUCAGACCCUUUUUAUAACUCCGCAGCGGUGUUUGCGUGUGAUUAAGCAACAUUUGCAGCGGCUGCAGGGGGAGGUCUGCGUCCGCUAUUUCCCUAAUUGCUUUGUGUAUCUGCUUCCAAUACGGCGUUAUUAG